GUUUCUAAAGCAUGUGUUUGUUUUCUCUGCCCUUCUCUGUUGCAGUUGCCUAUGAAUGAAUGCCAUUUUGAGGAGAAGAUUCUCUGCUAUCUUAACACGUGUAGAUAUUUGGAGGUCUCUGAAAGUGCUGAGGACCAGAGCCCUCUGGAAGCUGGUGGCUGGCUUGGCGAUACACAUUUGGUUUUCCUUACCAAACAGCAGAUAUUUUCCCAGGGGUGGAAUUGGCAGGGGAUGAAUGCCAUGUGAAGAGGAAGCAAUUCGCCGUGUAUUUACUACUCUGAGAUGUAAGGGAAUCCCUGGAAGAUCUGUGAAUUUUGGAGAUGCUCAUGAUGGUGGAGAUGCCAUCAAACGGAAGCCAUUCAGGUGGAAGGAGUGUAUGUUCACUUUAACAUUCGGAUGUGCAUUAAAUUUUCUGGAAGCAGUGUGGCCCUGAGUCCUCUGGAAUUCGGUGGAAUUAACAUGAAUGGAGUCCAUGUGAAGGGAAGGCAAAUAACCCUGUGUUUACUACCCUCAGAUUUAAGGGAAUACUGGAAGAUCUGUGACCAAGAGUCUGGAGAAUUUUGGACAUCACUCAUUGUGGGUGAGAUGCCAUCAAAUGGAAGCCACUUGGAUGGAAAGAGUCUACAUUUCUUUUAAAAACUGUGGGUUGAACUGGCAGGGAAUGAAUGCCAUGUUACGGGAAUGCACUUCAACAUGUGUUUACUACCCUGAGAUGUAAGGAAAUCCCUGGAGAUCUAUGGUCAAGAGUCUGGAGAAUCUUUGUCAUCACUCAUUGUGGUAGGCAUUUCUCUUUUUUUCCUUUUUUCCUAAGCUACUGUUAAUCUCACAAGAAUAGUCUCUCUCCAG
rnacentral:lncRNA from 1 species